AAUAAUAAUAAUUUAUUUUCCAAUUCGUGAUGGAUGCUUGCAUUUUUCUAACUGGGUUGAAGUCUUGAGCAGCUGAGGCUGGCUUAGAUGUGCCAAGUGUUGCAACCCUAAACCUUUGAUUAGCUGGACUCGUGAAUAUAGGUCACUAUGCAUAGUUGGAGCCCUUUUACGAAGACAAACCAGCACUAGCCUUCAAGUUAAUACUCACAUUUGUCAAUAUACCAGGAUUUUUUCUUCCAGACAUCACUUUAGGAGCACUAGUAUCAUAUAAUGCAACUCUUACUGCCAUGUUAUGAAAAAUGAAGCCUAGCAUAGCAUCUUCUCUUGUCGUGUCUCAUUAAUCCGCAGAUGCUGUUCUUCAUGACUGAUU
rnacentral:misc_RNA from 1 species